GGGGUAAAAUUAAUAAAUUAAUUUUAAUAAAAAAAUUUUUAAUAAAAUAUUUUAAAGGGGGGGUUAAAGUAUAUUUAUAGAAAAAAUAAAUUAAUUUAUAGUUAAAUAGUAUUGUAAAAGAAUUUUGAAAUAAUUGAAAAUUAAAUUUUUUUAAAAGUAAUUUUUAUUUAAUGUAUCUUGGGUAUCAGAGUUUAUUAAAAAAAAUUAUUAAAUAAAAAAAUUCUCGAAUUUAAAAGAGAUAAUUAAUUAAUAAAGUUAUUGUAGCAUAAAUAUUUUAAAUAAUUAAUUGGAAAUGAAAUGUUAAUCGUUUUUAAAUAUAUCUAGUUUUUUUAGAAAAAAAUUUAAUUUUAUAUUAUUUAAAAAAAAAAUUAAUUAAUUAAUUUUUUUUUAAAAUAAUAAUAUAUUUUAAGGGAUAAGCUUUAAUUUAAAUUUAUAUAAAUAAAUUGAAAAAUUAAAUUGAAAAUUUUAUAAUUUAUAUUGUUAAAAAAAUUUAAUUUAUUAUAAAUAAUUUCAUUUAAAAUAAAAUUUAAUAAAAUUUUAUAUGGUUUAUAAAAAAAAAUUUUUUAAUAAAAUAAAAUUUGAUAUAAUGAUAAAAUUAGUAUAUAAUAAAAUAUAUAAAUGAAUAAUUUAGUAUAAAUAAUUAAUUAAAAGGAAUUCGGCAAAAAUUUAUAUUCACUUGUUUAUCAAAAACAUGUCUUUUUGAAAAUAAUAUAAAGUCUAAUCUGCCCACUGAUAUAAUAUUAAAGGGCUGCAGUAUAUUGACUGUACAAAGGUAGCAUAAUCAUUAGUCAUUUAAUUGAUGACUUGUAUGAAAGAUUGGAUGAAAUAUAAACUGUCUCUUAAUUAAAUAUAGAAUUUAAUUUUUAAAUUAAAAAGUUUAAAUAAUUUAAAAAGACGAGAAGACCCUAUAGAGUUUUAUAAAUUUAAUGAUUAAGAUUAUUUAUUAAAAAAAAAAUUAAAAUUAAUAAAUUUAUUUUGUUGGGGUGACAAAAAAAUAUAAAAAACUUUUUUUAAAAUAAAACAUAUAUAAAUGAUUAAAUGAUCCAUUAUUAUUGAUUAUAAGAAAAAAUUACCUUAGGGAUAACAGCGUAAUUUUUUUUUUUAGUUCUUAUAAAAAGAAAAGUUUGCGACCUCGAUGUUGGAUUAAGAUAAAAUUUAAAUGCAGUAGUUUAAAAUUUUUGAUCUGUUCGAUCAUUAAAAUCUUACAUGAUCUGAGUUCAAACCGGUGUAAGCCAGGUUGGUUUCUAUCUUUUAAAAAAUAAAAUAUUUUAGUACGAAAGGAUUAAAUAUUUAAAUUAAAUUUUUUAUUUUGAAUUUUAUUAAAGAUAAUUUAUAAAUUUAUAAUAAAUAAAUUAAUAUAUAUAUAUAUAUAUAUAUAUAUUU
rnacentral:rRNA from 1 species